rnacentral:rRNA from 1 species
UUCUCCUGGAAACGGGUGGUAAUGCCGGAUGCUCCGACUCCUCGCAUGGGGUGUCGGGAAAGAUUUCAUCGGUAUGGGAUGGGGUCGCGUCCUAUCAGGUAGUCGGCGGGGUAACGGCCCACCGAGCCUACGACGGGUAGCCGGCCUGAGAGGGCGACCGGCCACAUUGGGACUGAGAUACGGCCCAGACUCCUACGGGAGGCAGCAGUGGGGAAUAUUGCACAAUGGGCGCAAGCCUGAUGCAGCGACGCCGCGUGCGGGAUGACGGCCUUCGGGUUGUAAACCGCUUUUGAUCGGGAGCAAGCCUUCGGGUGAGUGUACCUUUCGAAUAAGCACCGGCUAACUACGUGCCAGCAGCCGCGGUAAUACGUAGGGUGCAAGCGUUAUCCGGAAUUAUUGGGCGUAAAGGGCUCGUAGGCGGUUCGUCGCGUCCGGUGUGAAAGUCCAUCGCUUAACGGUGGAUCUGCGCCGGGUACGGGCGGGCUGGAGUGCGGUAGGGGAGACUGGAAUUCCCGGUGUAACGGUGGAAUGUGUAGAUAUCG